CCUACGGGGGGCAGCAGUGGGGGAUAUUGCACAAUGGGGGAAACCCUGAUGCAGCGACGCCGCGUGUGGGAAGACGGUCCUCUGGAUUGUAAACCACUGUCCCCAGGGACGAAGAUGACGGUACCUGGGGAGGAAGCUCCGGCUAACUACGUGCCAGCAGCCGCGGUCAUACGUAGGGAGCGAGCGUUGUCCGGAAUUACUGGGUGUACAGGGAGCGUAGGCGGGGAUGCAAGUUGGGGGUCAAAACUACCGGCUCAACUGGGAGUCGCACGCAAAACCGCAGCUCUCGAGUGAAGUAGAGGCAGGCGGAAUUCGUAGUGUAGCGGUGAAAUGCGUAGAUAUUAGGAGGAACACCAGUUGCGAAGGCGGCCUGCUGGGCUUUUACUGACGCUGAGGCUCGAAAGUGUGGGGAGCGAACAGGAUUAGAUACCCCUGUAGUC
rnacentral:rRNA from 1 species